GUUUACGUAGCUUAAUUAAAGCAAAACACUGAAAAUGUUAAAAUGGAUCUUAAAACACCCCGCAAACA
rnacentral:tRNA from 1 species